GUACACGCUGUGACUAGCAUAUCAAUAAGCGGAGGAAAAGAAACUAACAAGGAUUCCCCUAGUAACGGCGAGUGAAGCGGGAAGAGCUCAAAUUUGAAAUCUUAAAGGGUUUCCCUUUACGAAUUGUAGUUUAAAGAAGUGUUUUCUGUUGAGGUUUUGGUAAAAGUUCUUUGGAAUAGGACAUCAUAGAGGGUGAGAAUCCCGUAUUUGACCUUUACUUUCAACUUUGUGAUACACUUUCAAAGAGUCGGAUUGUUUGGGAAUGCAGUCCAAAAUGGGUGGUAAAUUUCAUCUAAAGCUAAAUAUUGGCGAGAGACCGAUAGCGAACAAGUACCGUGAGGGAAAGAUGAAAAGAACUUUGAAAAGAGAGUUAAACAGUACGUGAAAUCGUCAAAAGGGAAGCGUUUGACACCAGUGUUGUUUUUCUGAAAAUCAAUUAAAGAACUGUUUAUGCUAAGCUGUUUAGACUUUAUCAGCUAUCUGUUUAGUUUUGAGCUUUUCUUUAAUGCACUUUUCAGUUAACAAGUCAACAUCAAUUUCUUUUGCUGUAAAAAAGCUUGAGGAAGGUGGCUUGAGAUUCGUCUUAAGUGUUUAUAGCCUCUUGCCUAUGCAGUCGGAGAGAUUGAGGUCUGCAGCGUAGAUCCUUCGGGGCUAAAUGCAUUUGUGCUAAGUUAUAGCAUUUUAUAGACAACUUGUUGACUAUGAUUUGUCUUGUAGCUUACUCGCUUAUGUUAUUUUACCUACGCUUAGGAUGUUGACGAGACUGUCGAUCUC
rnacentral:rRNA from 1 species